rnacentral:rRNA from 1 species
GCUACUGGACCUAGCGGCGGACGGGUGAGUAAUGCUUAGGAAUCUGCCUAUUAGUGGGGGACAACAUCUCGAAAGGGAUGCUAAUACCGCAUACGUCCUACGGGAGAAAGCAGGGGAUCUUCGGACCUUGCGCUAAUAGAUGAGCCUAAGUCGGAUUAGCUAGUUGGUGGGGUAAAGGCCUACCAAGGCGACGAUCUGUAGCGGGUCUGAGAGGAUGAUCCGCCACACUGGGACUGAGACACGGCCCAGACUCCUACGGGAGGCAGCAGUGGGGAAUAUUGGACAAUGGGGGGAACCCUGAUCCAGCCAUGCCGCGUGUGUGAAGAAGGCCUUAUGGUUGUAAAGCACUUUAAGCGAGGAGGAGGCUACUUUAGUUAAUACCUAGAGAUAGUGGACGUUACUCGCAGAAUAAGCACCGGCUAACUCUGUGCCAGCAGCCGCGGUAAUACAGAGGGUGCGAGCGUUAAUCGGAUUUACUGGGCGUAAAGCGUGCGUAGGCGGCUUAUUAAGUCGGAUGUGAAAUCCCCGAGCUUAACUUGGGAAUUGCAUUCGAUACUGGUGAGCUAGAGUAUGGGAGAGGAUGGUAGAAUUCCAGGUGUAGCGGUGAAAUGCGUAGAGAUCUGGAGGAAUACCGAUGGCGAAAGGCAGCCAUCUGGGCCUAAUACUGACGCUGAGGUA